rnacentral:rRNA from 1 species
AAUUAGCGGCGGACGGGUGAGUAACACGUGGGUAACCUGCCUUAUAGAGAGGGAUAGCCUUCCGAAAGGAAGAUUAAUACCGCAUAAUAUAUUUUUAUCACAUGGUAGAAAUAUCAAAGGAGUAAUCCGCUAUAAGAUGGACCCGCGGCGCAUUAGCUAGUUGGUGAGGUAACGGCUCACCAAGGCGACGAUGCGUAGCCGACCUGAGAGGGUGAUCGGCCACAUUGGAACUGAGACACGGUCCAGACUCC